rnacentral:tRNA from 1 species
GGGCCUGUAGCUCAGCGGUAGAGCAGGGGACUCAUAAUCCCUUGGUCGAGUGUUCGAAUCACUCCGGGCCCA